AUCUUUGCACUUAGGGCAAUGAUGCAGCUAGUGAGGUUAUAACGGAGGUACAUCUAUUGCUGGUUGAAAACUAUUUCCAAACCCCCUCUUAGGCCUGGAUUCAUCCCUAGGCUUUCGACUUCUUGAGCGUAGGCCUUGAUGCCU